AAUAUACUCCCUCCGUCCCAAAAUUCUUGUUUUAGAUUUGUCUAAAUAUGGAUGUAUCAAGUCACAUUUUAGUAUUAGAUACAUCCGUAUCUAGACAAAUCUAAGACAAGAAUUUUGGGACGGAGGGAGUAGAUA
rfam:Triticum urartu cultivar G1812 contig88582, whole genome shotgun sequence.